GAUGAACGCUGGCGGCGUGCCUAAUACAUGCAAGUCGAGCGAACAGACGAGGAGCUUGCUCCUCUGACGUUAGCGGCGGACGGGUGAGUAACACGUGGAUAACCUACCUAUAAGACUGGGAUAACUUCGGGAAACCGGAGCUAAUACCGGAUAAUAUAUUGAACCGCAUGGUUCAAUAGUGAAAGACGGUUUUGCUGUCACUUAUAGAUGGAUCCGCGCCGCAUUAGCUAGUUGGUAAGGUAACGGCUUACCAAGGCAACGAUGCGUAGCCGACCUGAGAGGGUGAUCGGCCACACUGGAACUGAGACACGGUCCAGACUCCUACGGGAGGCAGCAGUAGGGAAUCUUCCGCAGUGGGCGAAAGCCUGACGGAGCAACGCCGCAUGAGUGAUGAAGGUCUUCGGAUCGUAAAACUCUGUUAUUAGGGAAGAACAAAUGUGUAAGUAACUAUGCACGUCUUGACGGUACCUAAUCAGAAAGCCACGGCUAACUACGUG
rnacentral:rRNA from 1 species